UUAGGGAAGAUAAUGACGGUACCUAACGAAUAAGCAUCGGCUAACUCCGUGCCAGCAGCCGCGGUAAGACGGAGGAUGCCAGCGUUAUCCGGAAUUAUUGGGCGUAAAGCGUACGUAGGCUGUUAGAUAAGUCUGUUGUCAAAGAGCGAGGCUCAACCUUGUAAAGGCAAUGGAAACUGUUUGACUAGAGAGAGAUAGGGGCAGGAGGAAUUCCAGGGGUAGCGGUGAAAUGCGCCUCAUAUCUG
rnacentral:rRNA from 1 species